GUGCCAGCAGCCGCGGUAAUACCGGCAGCCCGAGUGAUGGCCGAUCUUAUUGGGCCUAAAGCGUCCGUAGCUGGCUGCGCAAGUCCGUCGGGAAAUCCACUCGCCCAACGAGUGGGCGUCCGAUGGAAACUGUCCAGCUUGGGACCGGAAGGCUCGAAGGGUACGUUCGGGGUAGGAGUGAAAUCCCAUAAUCCUGCACGGACCACCGAUGGCGAAAGCACGUCGAGAAGACGGAUCCGACAGUGAGGGACGAAAGCCAGGGUCUCCAACCGGAUUAGAAACCCCAGUAGUCC
rnacentral:rRNA from 1 species